AUUGAACGCUGGCGGCAUGCCUUACACAUGCAAGUCGAACGGCAGCACGGGAGCAAUCCUGGUGGCGAGUGGCGAACGGGUGAGUAAUAUAUCGGAACGUGCCCAGUCGUGGGGAUAACGUAGCGAAAGCUACGCUAAUACCGCAUACGAUCUAUGGAUGAAAGCGGGGGAUCGCAAGACCUCGCGCGAUUGGAGCGGCCGAUAUCAGAUUAGGUAGUUGGUGAGGUAAAGGCUCACCAAGCCGACGAUCUGUAGCUGGUCUGAGAGGACGACCAGCCACACUGGGACUGAGACACGGCCCAGACUCCUACGGGAGGCAGCAGUGGGGGAAUUUUUGGGACAAUGGCGCAAGCCUGAUCCAGCAAUGCCGCGUGCAGGAUGAAGGCCUCGGUUGUAAC
rnacentral:rRNA from 1 species